rnacentral:miRNA from 1 species
AUGUGAGCCUGAUCCAAAGCCCAUGAAAGUCAAUGGGCUAUUUUCCACUGACUUUAAUGGGCUUUGGACCACCACUUCUAA